rnacentral:rRNA from 1 species
GAUGAACGCUGGCGGCGUGCUUAACACAUGCAAGUCGAACGAUGAAGCCCAGCUUGCUGGGUGGAUUAGUGGCGAACGGGUGAGUAACACGUGAGUAACCUGCCCUUAACUCUGGGAUAAGCCUGGGAAACUGGGUCUAAUACCGGAUAGGAGCGUCCACCGCAUGGUGGGUGUUGGAAAGAUUUAUCGGUUUUGGAUGGCCUCGCGGCCUAUCAGCUUGUUGGUGAGGUAAUGGCUCACCAAGGCGACGACGGGUAGCCGGCCUGAGAGGGUGACCGGCCACACUGGGCCUGAGCCACGGCCCAGACUCCUACGGGAGGCAGCAGUGGGGAAUAUUGCACAAUGGGCGCAAGCCUGAUGCAGCGACGCCGCGUGAGGGAUGACGGCCUUCGGGUUGUAAACCUCUUUCAGUAGGGAAGAAGCGAAAGUGACGGUACCUGCAGAAGAAGCACCGGCUAACUACGUG